UGUUGACAAUAUGACUCUAAAAUUCAUAUAAUAUGAUCUCAAACAAAAUAAUUAUGUUUUUUGGUAUAAAACCGAAUAAACCAAAAACCGAUGGUAUAUAAACCGAACCGAACCGAAGUAAAUAUGGAUUUAGAAUGGUAGUUAUAUUUUACUAACCGAAAUACCAAAAACCGAAAAAACCGAACCGAAACCGAACCGAUAUCCGGAUUGAACACCCC
rnacentral:lncRNA from 1 species